rnacentral:lncRNA from 1 species
AAUACAUAUAAAAUUUUCUCCACAAGACCCAACUUAAAACAAAGUUGCCCUUAAAAAAAUAAACCAGAAAGCCUACAUUUAUAAUCAACCCCACUAAUGAGGAUAUAGCUCAGUAAUAUUUGAGUCCUCAUUUAUCAACACAUGCACAGAAUUUUUAGAUUCCUAUGAUUGUGUUCCGUCCGUGGUGUCUUUUUCACUGUUAUGUAAAUAAUAUGCAGGUCUUGAAGGUAAUGAAAGUGUAACA